AGGUCUUGGACAUGUCUUUCCGGGAUUGGAUUAUGGCAUUCUUGGCAUGUGUGUUGGUGGCAAAAGAAAGCUUACAAUCCCUCCAGCAUUGGGACAUGGUGUGGAAGGUUUUCGUGACACUAUUACUCCUGAGGCCUGGCUGGUGUUUGAAGUUGAACUUCUUAGUUUAAAAUAAAUAAAUAAAUAAAACUUCCUUUGAAUUAAUACAUGCAUAAUUAAGUUUUGUUUGGUGUGUUCUAGCUUUUA